AUGUUCUAAAAUCAGGUGGGAUCACCUGGAUCGGCUGUGGUGGGGUUUGGAACCUGCCAUCAGUGCAGGGCUGGAGGCUGGCACUGCUCUGGAACUGCCUGUCUGUGCUGCCCUGGUGGUUUAUUCUUUAUUUCAGUGUGAACCCCGCCCUGGGAAUCUGUCUGACAGCGUUACUGGGCAGCAGCAAGUUGGCUCUAAUAAUCUGAUUUACUGCAGCUAUUUUGAAUGCGAGGUCCUGACGACUGUAUUGUGUUGGAAAAGGUCACCGUGACCUAAUCAAUACUGCUCAGCUGCCAGGCUCCUGGAGAGCACAGCUCCUCACUCACUCCAGCCCUGCUCCCUCUGCCUGCAUGGGUGUUUGCUCUCUGCUGCUUUUCAAGAGGACGAGAAGCUCAAAAAUCCAGGCUUUGAGCUGCUUCAAACCCCCCUGAAGAGCCCUCAGGACCUGCCCCUCUUCCUGGGCUCACCCCACUCUGGCCAUGGGGGAGGCUGUGGCACUGCCCGGGCUGGUGGUGCCAGCUCUGCCCCGGUGCCCCCUCCUGCUGCACCCCCACACCCAGCAGCUCUUUCCACUUUCACCCCUGCAUUUUUAAGGAAGAAGAACCAGAAAUUCCGAUGCUCUUCUCCCUGGCCCAGUGCCAGGACAGAGGCACCUGUGGGACCCCUGGGCUGCUCCCCAAGGAAUGUGGCUGUUUGCUGUGGGGCACCGUGCCAAAAACCCCUCCUGGGUCACUGAAUGAGACACCAGGAGAUUCUCGGGGCUUCUCGGGUGUCUUAGGAGGUGCAAGGGACCUCCUGCACUGUGCACGGCUUUUUAGUCUCUUGUUCUGAAUUGUUUGUUAUUUUUGCUUUAAUUAAAACCUUUUUGCUUUUCCGAAA